CUCAGAGUGCACACUUACAUUGUCAUUAGUGUUGUUUCCUUGAGGGUGGGAGCCAUGUUUUGUGUGUCUUUGUGUUCGUAGAUUCCAUAUUGCCCAGCCCAGGGCUCGGGAUAGAAACUGCUCUCAGUAAGCUCUUGCUGAUUAAUUGAUUAAUCCCUGCAAAAGCAAACUCUAAGCCUUCGCUUUGACAAACCUUCCAGAAAUGUCAGUUCUUUGGGGGACUCUAGAUAGUGACCUAACCAGAUAUAGCCUUGCACAAGUCGUUCCACAAAGCAAUUUCACAAGAGAACACCACCACUACCCAGAGAGGGAUGAGGAAGUUUGAAGAGGACUCUCAGAGAGAUGCGGAGGAGGGUGGCCACGUGGAAAGGUCAAAGGACGAAGAAUUAGGAGGCAGAGGCCUCUGCUCCUGGACUCAGAGAGGCAGCACAGGCUCGAUCGUCCGGGGUAGACCCGACCGCACCAUCUGCUGUGUGGCCUUAGGCAAGUUGACUCCCCUCUCUGGGUGUCAGUUUCUCCUCUGUAAAAAAAUACAUGCUCCUGGUGAAACCUUUGACAAUUCUGACAAUCAAAAUAAAGAAAAUUUUAGAAAAUCACCUGCAGUGUCAUCACAGAGACAAGGCUUUGGCUGGGGGUGAGCUGCAUCUAUUGGAAUCGGCACAACGGCUGGUCGCCACGUGAAGCCAGGGGACCGUGUCAGGGGCGUGGCUUCCCAUCAGCUCUCGGAGAUGGAGAAUCUAAGCCACUAAGAGAUGACAUCACUUGGCCAAAAUCACGCGGCUUCUGGGGCCAAUGUUCUCUUUUGCCUUUGUGAAGAAGAGGGAACAUGGCACUGCGCUGUUCUGCAGCAAAAACAAGCUGAUGUCAGGGAUUCUUCCAGAAAAGCACAUUUCAGGGCCAUUGCUGAGAUCACCACCCAUUCAGCAAACGUCCCAAACACUGAAUGCACUUCUGUGUCUCAGCCCGCGGCAUAACUGAUGCUCCUCAUAAUGACCUUCAACUACCCAGGAAAGGUUAAUUUAUAUUUUGCAAGCUCUGUUUAAUCAGGCAGGGGGGGUGAGUGACAAGCUUUAACAAGAUCUCUAUCAAAACCAAAUUACCAAAGUUAGACACUUAAAUGAAUUAACCCCUCUCUCUGAAAAGCUGGGCUGCUCUGGUAACCCCUUGUAGAGGAGCCUUCCCUUUAAACAUUGCCCCUUCUGGAGGGGCUCUGCUCUUAUGCCGCUGGUGUCCCCACUGCAUCUAGGCAUCAGGAAGGAGCCAGGUCUCACCAUUAUGUCCCUGACAAGGACUCCCAGAAGAUGGCGGGGAUCACGUGGGGAAGUUCUCUUUCUUCCCUUGGCCUCAGUCUGAAAUUCCCCAAACGCUUGGGGCCCUGCAAUGCUGGGCAGCAGGCAGUGUCCCCAGCAGUGGUCCUGGCAUCCUGCCCCCUUUACACAAAGCAAUCACUGUUGCAGAAAAUGAGGGUCCUGUGACCAUUUGGCACCAUCCCCUGCCUGGCAUUCGCGUGGGAGAAGGAACUUUCUCUCUCCCUGACAAUAGACUCUGAUCACAAACCAGGCCCCUUUCAGAGAAACAGCUUUGCAGAGAAUGACUUUGCCUAGAGGUAAGAACUGAGUGAGGGAACAGAAGUGGUUUCUCGCAGGAAGCCUGUUAAUGUCACUGAGAAAUCAGCCGGCCCAUGGAGGCCUCAGACAGCUUUCCGCGCACCACCCUCAUUGCCGCACCGGCUCUCAGCCAGGCCUCUCUCCCUUUACCCUGACUGUCUCCUUGAAUUCGUUUCCCACGGUGACAUAUCUGGUUCCUGGCCACUGUGACACCUGUGUCACCCUGUUGUUAGUGGUCUAGAAUUCCAGCCUUACCUCUAAAUGCAGGUGUAACGAUCCUAUCUUACAGAGAGCAUCUCCCUGGGUGACUUUACUGAGAACUUAACAUUGGUGUAAAACCAUUAACUAAACUACAGAUUUUAUUUGGAUUCCCCCAGUUUUCCCAUUCAUGUCCUUUCUCUGUUUCAAUAUAGUGUAUCACACCAUGCCUCCUGCGAUCUGUGAAGGUUUGUUUCUCUGUUGUUCCUUAUUUUUUCACGACCUUGACAUUUUCAGGUAUUUUAUUGAGCGUCGCUCGAUUUAGGCUUGCCUGAAGUUUUCUCAUGGUUAGACCAGAGCUAUGGAUUUUCUGAAAGAAUACCGCAGGGGUGAAGUGCCCUUGCUUUUCACACUGUAUCAGGAAGUACAUGAUAUCAACAUGACUAAUUAAUGGUGAGGUUAACCUUGAUCACAUGGGUAAGGUGGCUUUGCCAGUUUCGCCACUGUAAAAUGACCAUUUUCCCCUUUCUAGACUCUAUGGAUUGGAAGUGAACCACUAAGUUCAGCUCCUACUGCAAGGGAGGGAAAUGAAACUCCGCUCCCUGGAGGAGGGAGAAUCUGCAGAUAUAAUCUGGAAUUCUUCUAUACAGAAGACUUGUCUCAUCUCCAUGAUUUUUUUAUUUAUUUACUUCUUUAUUUAUAUCAGUAUGGACUCAGAGACAUUUAUUUUAUUAUCUGAGUUAUAAUGCAAUACUUUUUAAAAUCGUUGCUCAAAUUGUCCCAGCUUGGGUCAUUGGGAUCUUUCUCAGGUGGGCUCCUGUGUCUUUUUCAUGGGCUCCCCAUUUGUUUUUUCCAUUAUCUUACUUUCCAGCACUCUAUGGUGCUGCACGCUCACCUGUCUUUUCCUUGCCUUUCUUUCUCCAGGGAGCCCUGGUUCCAUUAUUGGAAGAUGGUCUUUGGAAACCAAGUUCUGAGUGCCGGGUGUGCUCUUUGCUACUGGGUCAUUGCUCUCUGCCCUCUCAGUGCACACAGCUAGGAAGCGUCUGGAUGUAGAGUGGCCAAUGCAUGUGCACAUAUCUGUAUUUCGACACCCGUCUCUAGAUAUCCUUAAAUAAAAAUGAGUUCACACCAGUACCUCCAACUUGAAUUCAGCACCACUGGGCUUGUCCUGGCCUUCCGCCUUUCCUCAUUGUCCUUCCUUUCGCUGGCAGUGCCAAACCCGGCUCCUGCUGUCUACAAUUUAUACACUUACUUGUUCAACCUUA